AUUGAACGCUAGCGGGAUGCCUUACACAUGCAAGUCGAACGGAGUGGCGCACGGGUGAGUAAUGUAUCGGAACGUGCCCAGUAGCGGGGGAUAACUACGCGAAAGCGUAGCUAAUCCCGCAUACUAUUGGAGCGGCCGAUAUCGUAUUAGCGAGUCGGUGGGGUGACGGCUAACCAAGGCGACGAUCCGUAGCCGGUUUGAGAGGACGACCAGCCAGAAUGGGAAUGAGACACGGCCCAGACUACUAGGGAAGGCAGCAGUGGGGAAUUUUGGAAAAGGGGGGAAACCCUGUUCCAGCCAGCGCGGGUGUGCGAUGAAGGCCGUCGGGUUGUAAAGCACUUUUGGCAGGAAAGCGGUACCUGCAGAAUAAGCACCGGCUAACUACGUGCCAGCAGCCGCGGUAAUAC
rnacentral:rRNA from 1 species